rnacentral:rRNA from 1 species
UUUGGGGAAUGAUUUAGCCAUGCUAGUCGCACGAGUUCAGACUCGUGGCGAAUAGCUCAGUAACACGUGGCCAAACUACCCUUCGGAACACAAUACCCUCGGGAAACUGAGGCUAAUAGUGUAUACCAUACCACCACUGGAAUGAGUGGUAUGCCAAACGCUCCGGCGCCGAAGGAUGUGGCUGCGGCCGAUUAGGUAGACGGUGGGGUAACGGCCCACCGUGCCAAUAAUCGGUAUGGGUCAUGAGAGUGAGAACCCAGAGACGGAAUCUGAGACAAGAUUCCGGGCCCUACGGGGCGCAGCAGGCGCGAAACCUUUACACUGCACGACAGUGCGAUAGGGGGAUCCCAAGUGCACAGGCAUAGCGCCUGUGCUUUUCGGUACCCUAAGGCGGUACCAGAAUAAGGGCUGGGCAAGACCGGUGCCAGCCGCCGCGGUAAUACCGGCAGCCCAAGUGAUGGCCGAUCUUAUUGGGCCUAAAGCGUCCGUAGCUGGCCGCGCAAGUCUAUCGGGAAAUCCACCUGCUCAACGGGUGGGCGCCCGGUAGAAACUGCGUGGCUUGGGACCGGAAGGCGCGACGGGUACGUCCGGGGUAGGAGUGAAAUCCCGUAAUCCUGGACGGACCGCCGAUGGCGAAAGCACGUCGCGAGAACGGAUCCGACAGUGAGGGACGAAAGCCAGGGUCUCGAACCGGAUUAGA